rnacentral:rRNA from 1 species
GAUGAACGCUGGCGGUAUGCUUAACACAUGCAAGUCGAACGGACUCUUCGGAGUUAGUGGCGGACGGGUGAGUAACGCGUGAGAAUCUGGCUUUGGGUUCGGGACAACCACUGGAAACGGUGGCUAAUACCGGAUGUGCCGAGAGGUAAAAGAGAAAUUGCCUGAAGAUGAGCUCGCGUGUGAUUAGCUAGUUUGUGAGGUAAAGCACAACAAAGCAGCGGUUAGGAGCUGGUCUGAGGGGAUGAACGGCCACAGUGGGACCGAGACACGGCCCAGACCCCUAGGGGAGGGAGCAGUGGGGAAUUUUCCGAAAGGGGCGAAAGCCUGACGGAGCAAUACCGCGUGAGGGAAGAAGGCUCGUGGGGUGUAAAGCUCUUUUCUUAGGGAAGAACAAAAUGACGGUACCUAAGGAAUCAGCAUCGGCUAACUCCGUG